rnacentral:rRNA from 1 species
AUUGAACGCUGGCGGCAUGCCUUACACAUGCAAGUCGAACGGCAGCACGGGAGCAAUCCUGGUGGCGAGUGGCGAACGGGUGAGUAAUAUAUCGGAACGUGCCCAGUAGUGGGGGAUAACUGCUCGAAAGAGCAGCUAAUACCGCAUACGACCUGAGGGUGAAAGGGGGGGAUCGCAAGACCUCUCGCUAUUGGAGCGGCCGAUUUCAGAUUAGCUAGUUGGUGGGGUAAAGGCCUACCAAGGCAACGAUCUGUAGUUGGUCUGAGAGGACGACCAGCCACACUGGGACUGAGACACGGCCCAGACGCCUACGGGAGGCAGCAGUGGGGAAUUUUGGACAAUGGGCGCAAGCCGGAUCCAGCAAUGCCGCGUGCAGGAAGAAGGCCUUCGGGUUGUAAACUGCUUUUGUCAGGGAAGAAAUCCUCUAGGUUAAUACCCUUGGGGGGAUGACGGUACCUGAAGAAUAAGCACCGGCUAACUACGUGCCAGCCGCCGCGGUAAAAC